rnacentral:rRNA from 1 species
CGUAAUCAACCUGCCCUUCAGAGGGGGACAACAGUUGGAAACGACUGCUAAUACCGCAUACGAUCUAAUCUCGGCAUCGAGGAUGGAUGAAAGGUGGCCUCUAUUUAUAAGCUAUCACUGAAGGAGGGGAUUGCGUCUGAUUAGCUAGUUGGAGGGGUAACGGCCCACCAAGGCGAUGAUCAGUAGGGGUUCUGAGAGGAAGGUCCCCCACAUUGGAACUGAGACACGGUCCAA